ACUGCGUAGAUGCCAUGCCUCAUCAGCUUGCCUGAGGUGUUGUCACUUGCUGUGAACCUAUGGACUGCUGUUACAUGACUGGCGUGAUUGGGAGGAGUCAGUAGGGUAUUUAAGGCAUGCCCUGGGGUUGUUUGAGGAAUUCCUGUUCCUGCAUUGCAAUGCUAAGUGUUCCUGAAUAAACCUGCUUGAAGAAGGACAAUGUGGUGUUGCAUCUUUCCUGCUGUUUGGAGUGGAUGCGACAAGUGGUGGCUCAUAUGGGGACUUCUGCUUUGUGAGAAGAACCUCAAGAGGUCAGGAUAGCCAGCUGGAAAGCUCCCAGGACCGCUGCCAGCCAUUGUGCGUACCUGAAUGACUGACUUGAGUGCUGAAGGAUGACCAGAGGUGUGAUGCUGAUUCUCCUGGGAAUAUUGAUGAUGGUGACAGGGUGCAGGAGUGAGGAGCUACAAUGGGGCAUCAUGUCGGUGUUUCCAAAGCUGCUACCCUUGACCCAUUCCACUCAAGUGUUUCCUCGUUUCUUUACCUCCAAUGCAUCUUUACAGGUACCCUUUUUACCUGAUGAUGAAGGAGUGGCACCGGUGACUGAACCUCUCCAGCUUGCCCUGCGAGGGGUAUUAUGCUUUCAUCUUAUUGUAAAUAUUUCUCAAAAUAGUGUGUGUGUGCAAUUGUAUAAUCAGACUGCUGCACGGUUUGAUAGACCUUUUUAAUAGUUCAACCCGAGCUAAUGCUACUUGGAUCAGAGGAACUUGGCCUGCGAGCAUACCUAAGGGUAAUGCUAGCAUUCUACCCCAACCAUGCUGGGCCCCGUUUUGCAGAGGCUUACGAGACUCUUGCCUCCAUGGACUGAAUGUCAAUCCCAAAAGGCCACUUGGGCAGUGAAAAAAUAUUUUACCUUUUUUCCAUACAUCAGUACCACGCAUAAUCAAAUGUUUGCAGGUUAUAAUUGGACAUAUCAAAGCACGGCACAGUGAAGGGCUAAUAAUCCUCUUAAUGUAUGGUUGUUAUGUGGGGUAAGUGGAAGCUGUACUGAUUUGUCACCUCUAAGUAUACUGAUGGGAGGGGGAUGGGGAAAUGCUAGUUUUUAUUGGAACGGGUCUGAUUUGUUUUAAAAUUCUGUGAAUGUUUUGGCUUUGAGAAAAAAUAUGUCUUUUGUGCCUACACCUGUGUGUAUUUGGCCCCCUUUUGUGUUUUUAGUAUAUAAUGAUAGUUAUGAUAAUGAGUUUAUUAAUCAUAGUAGUGAUAAUUGCUUUUAUAGUAUGUAUUGGAAUGCAUCUGUAUUUUCCUUGGCUGUGGUAACCCGUAUGCCUAGAUUUGUACCCUGGCCAGUGCAAGCUCCAUCUGUUAUGACACUGUUUAGACCUAAAAGAGAUUUUGAGAUUACUGCUGCCAUAGUCACAGCAAUAUCGCACCUCAAGGAACAGGCUGGCAUAGGAGGCUGGCAAUCAUCUGCAUUGCCACAGGAAUAAUGUCCCUGUGGUGCAUUUGCCAUAUGCAAAAAAAGGCAUACCCAUGCGCAGGCACUGUUGAAUCAGGCUUUUGCAGCCCUAGAGCUGGGACAAUCUUCUCAAGUGUGGCUUGGCAUGCUAGAGAAGUAGUCAAUGACGGGUAAGACUCCCUGGAGGUGUUACCAACCUAAGACAGGGACCAGACCACUGCUGUCGGUCCUCCCGAUGACGGGUAAGGAGCAUUAUCACAGGGGGCAACCUAAGACAGGCAUUCUCUCUGCCAAAAUAAUAAAUAAGGGGGAGAUGUGAGGAGCAGGUGUGGCCACCACCCCAAGAUGGCACCUGGGACAGCUGCCAGGUCUUAUAACCUGCGUCUGACUUCCUCAUUAUCUCAGACUUAGCCACAUCCCAGCCGCCUGCACUGUACAGAUGCCAUGCCUCGUCAGUUCGCCUGAGGUGUCCUCACUUGCUGUGAACCUAUGGACUGCUGUUAUGUGACUGGGGUGAUUGGGAGGAGUCAGUAGGGUAUUUAAGGCAUGCCCCAUGGUUGUUCGAGAAAUUCCUGUUCCUGCAUUGCAAUGCUAAGUGUUCCUGAAUAAACCUGCUUGAAGAAGGA